UUCUUCGGAUCUGUUCUAGCAGGGGAGCGCAGCUACUCGUAUACCCUUGACCGAGAAGAAUGGUCCUCCUCUAUCGGGGAUGGUAGUCCUCUUUGAACGAGUG